rnacentral:rRNA from 1 species
GACGAACGCUGGCGGCGUGUCUAAUACAUGCAAGUUGAGCGCUGAAGGUUGGUACUUGUACCAACUGGAUGAGCAGCGAACGGGUGAGUAACGCGUGGGGAAUCUGCCUUUGAGCGGGGGACAACAUUUGGAAACGAAUGCUAAUACCGCAUAAAAACUUUAAACACAAGUUUUAAGUUUGAAAGAUGCAAUUGCAUCACUCAAAGAUGAUCCCGCGUUGUAUUAGCUAGUUGGUGAGGUAAAGGCUCACCAAGGCGAUGAUACAUAGCCGACCUGAGAGGGUGAUCGGCCACAUUGGGACUGAGACACGGCCCAAACUCCUACGGGAGGCAGCAGUAGGGAAUCUUCGGCAAUGGACGAAAGUCUGACCGAGCAACGCCGCGUGAGUGAAGAAGGUGUUCGGAUCGUAAAACUCUGUUGGUAGAGAAGAACGUUGGUGAGAGUGGAAAGCUCAUCAAGUGACGGUAACUACCCAGAAAGGGACGGCUAACUACGU